UAACAAAUUAGAACUGGACACUUUCAAAACAGUGAAGGAGGUUUUCCAAACUCAUCCCUAACUGAACGUGAGGAUGAGUUGGCAUAUCAAAUUAUGAAGCUGCAGGCCCAAUUAUUGGAACAACACAAAAUAUUAGAUAACAGCAAAGCUAAGGAUGCUCAAAUUUUGAGUCUACCAGCCCAGCUAGGGGAAAAGAAUAAAUUGGAACGGAACAGUUUCCAAACAGUGAAGGAGGUUUUUCAAAACUCUUCCCUAAGUGAACGUGAGGAUGAGUUGGCGUUAGGCGAACA